UGCUAAAAACCUCGACUUCGGAAGGGGUGUAUUUAUUAGAUAAAAAACCAAUGCCCUUCGGGGCUCCUUGGUGAAUCAUAAUAACUUAACGAAUCGCAUGGCCUUGCGCCGGCGAUGGUUCAUUCAAAUUUCUGCCCUAUCAACUUUCGAUGGUAGGAUAGUGGCCUACCAUGGUAUCAACGGGUAACGGGGAAUUAGGGUUCGACUCCGGAGAGGGAGCCUGAGAAACGGCUACCACAUCCAAGGAAGGCAGCAGGCGCGCAAAUUACCCAAUCCCGACACGGGGAGGUAGUGACAAUAAAUACUGAUACAGGGCUCUUUUGGGUCUUGUAAUUGGAAUGAGUACAAUUUAAAUCCCUUAACGAGGAACAAUUGGAGGGCAAGUCUGGUGCCAGCAGCCGCGGUAAUUCCAGCUCCAAUAGCGUAUAUUAAAGUUGUUGCAGUUAAAAAGCUCGUAGUUGAACCUUGGGCCUGGCUGGCCGGUCCGCCUCACCGCGUGUACUGGUCCGGCCGGGCCUUUCCUUCUGGGGAACCUCAUGCCCUUCACUGGGCGUGUUGGGGAACCAGGACUUUUACUUUGAAAAAAUUAGAGUGUUCAAAGCAGGCCUUUGCUCGAAUACAUUAGCAUGGAAUAAUAGAAUAGGACGUGUGGUUCUAUUUUGUUGGUUUCUAGGACCGCCGUAAUGAUUAAUAGGGAUAGUCGGGGGCAUCAGUAUUCAAUCGUCAGAGGUGAAAUUCUUGGAUUGAUUGAAGACUAACUACUGCGAAAGCAUUUGCCAAGGAUGUUUUCAUUAAUCAGUGAACGAAAGUUAGGGGAUCGAAGACGAUCAGAUACCGUCGUAGUCUUAACCAUAAACUAUGCCGACUAGGGAUCGGACGGUGUUAGUAUUUUGACCCGUUCGGCACCUUACGAGAAAUCAAAGUUUUUGGGUUC
rnacentral:rRNA from 1 species